rnacentral:rRNA from 1 species
AGUGAACGCUGGCGGCGUGCUUAACACAUGCAAGUCGAACGCGAAAGGGGAGCAAUCCCCGAGUAGAGUGGCGAACGGGUGAGUAAUGUGUGGGUAAUUUGCCUUUCAGCGGGGGAUAACCCGGGGAAACCUGAGCUAAUACCCCAUAACAUGACCUGGUCUUCGGAUCGAGUCAUCAAACGAUGGCCUCUGCUUGCAAGCUAUUGCUGGAAGAUGAGCCCACAUCCUAUCACGCUUGUUGGUGGGGUAAUGGCCUACCAAGGCGACGACGGGGUAGCCGGCCUGAGAGGGUGUACGGCCACACUGGAACUGAGACACGGUCCAGACUCCUACGGGAGGCAGCAGUGGGGAAUUUUUCGCAAUGGGCGAAAGCCUGAC